AGAGACCUGCCAGGCUUUUCAGCAAGUUUCUUAAUGGGUCUCUAAGCUGCGCGCCUGUGCAAUCGCGCACUGCUCGCACAUUCUCAGCGCACAAGAAAAUCUAUGCAGCGCAUAAAAUAAAAUUCACCAUAAACGUAUUAAUUAAUAUCUAAUAUUAGACCUAAUCUAAUCUAAUUAAUUAGACCCAUAAUGUGUUUUGUGUACCAUUUUUAAUGUAACACAGUGAGUGACAGGUGUCCAGCCAAUGAUACGAUACGGUUUACUUACGCUACGCAGCCAAUCAGAGCAUUGAUAGUGCCCUGCCCAUACGCACCAUGCAGGUUAGCUAGCUAACAACAAUACGGCGGAGUUAUGAGAUGCAACCCCUUAUCAUGGCGAAGCAAACGGGCAACGCCAGCGACACAUCCACUCACCAAGCCAAAGUAAAAAAGAAAUGCGGUUCUUUUUGGAUGGAAUGGCUGUCGGAGUAUGUGCAAAUAGAAGAACAAGCGGUGAAACUGGGUGAGAUUUUGUCUUUUUCGAGUGAGAAAGGUCAACUCUGCAAAACAUGCAGCGAAGCCAAAGUAGCAAAUGAGCUUUCAACGGUAACAUUGUGGACUGAAUGGGAGUUGGACUACCUCAAGCGUCACAUUCAGCAGAAAAGUCAUUUGAAAGCUGUUGGAAUUGUACGAAGACUCAAGGUGGGACAGGGGGUUGGUUCAUUAUUGCGGGAGAGCGCAAACGACAGAGAGAAAAGGAACGAACUGUCACGCAAAACAAAAUCUGACCCCAAGCAAGUUAAAGUUCUCAUUGACAAUAUUUUACUUGCCAUCAAAAUGAAUGCAUCAAUGCUGUCAGUUCAACAAAUCCACAAUCACAUGGCAAAGUAUGUGAGUACUUGAAGUGGCACAUUUGGACCAGCUGAUGCGCAUAAAGUCAAAGCAAGAAGCAGACGAAGCAUCAACCUGGACAAAGUGUACAACCAUUGGAGAAGUGAGAAGGACAGACGUGAAAAAUAAGAACAGGACCCUCAGCCAGGCCACAACUGGACCAUAGCCAGGCCAAAGCAGGACUCUCGCAUAUAUAACAUACUAUACAUCUCAUGAACAACAAGAUUUUUGUCUUUUUCAUUUUAAGUGGGCCAAAUCGCUUAUAUUCAAAGUAAACUAAUGAAAAUUGCUGCUGUAAUUUGAUUCUUUUAAUAAGCCAUGUAACUUGCUAUGAUCCAAGGUUUUGAACAGGUGUGAUACUGGUGUGUGGCCACAGCGUGCACAUCUGAUGUUGCUCACAGUGGUCCUCAGUGUGCUCAGGGAGCUUGUGUGUAUGCCCAGACACAUGACAAAUUAGACUGAGGCACAGGACCUACAACUAUAGAGGCCUUAAAGGCCUUUGCACCCUUCAAGAUUUACUAUGCUUGUGCUUCGCAAACUUUGUGUCAUGCGACCCCUUUGAAAUGAGGCAUUGUCUUCUUGGAACCUAUCGUGAAUGGUCAUAGCUCACACCAAAUAGUAACUCGGUAUGUUUUAUAGAUCUUAAAGAGGUAGAAUUUUCCAGUAAUUCAAAGACAAACAAUAACGCCUGGUGAAUGUCUGUACACAAAAAUAAUAAAAGUAAUGACAUUAUUUAUGUAGCAAAUGCAAAA